AAACAAAAAAGACUAAUUCGUUUAAGUAAACCUGAUUCAGGAUGAGGUAAACCUAGGGGAAGAAGAUUUUGACUAUAAUCUCUGGUCAAAUCAAGAAUUUGAAAUAGCUUAUGAAAUUUCUCUAUCUAGUGAUCAAAAAGUUCAUCCACAAUGGCAACCACUUAUCGAACCACUUGUAAGGAUGAAUGAACCAAUACACA
rnacentral:lncRNA from 1 species